CACUAAUUGCAGCGGCACGGGCCGCUGCCCCCGACCCAGGGGAUGACUCAGCACAGGUCGAGGACUCGCCACGAGGACCAGGCCGCAGGUUGAAGAACACAAAACAACAACCCAGUUUGGGGAGGCCAACCUGGCCUUAACCACCAGGGAGUAUAGCUGGGCCAAGCGACUGCUGGAAAUCAAGAAGAAACUGGGGGCGAGGAACCGGUAUCUUCUUUUUACCCUGGGCAAGCUUUGCUUUAAAAACAUAAAUCGGUACUUGAAGUUGGCCUGGAGGAGUAUGGGGCUGAAGGGUGACAUUAAUUUCACCCUUAUAAGAACCGCCCUUGCAAACAGUGCCAAGACCCUCUUGCCUCCUGAGGAGCGGGCGAAGGUCAGCAUGGCUAUGUGCCAUGACGUCAAAACAGCUGACAGGUUCUACAGCCGAAACCCCUCGCUGCAGGAGGCAAUGAGGGUCAGGAACAUGAUGGCAGAAACUCUGAUCCAGCUAAAUCAGCCCCCUACUCCUCCAGGUCAGGCCGGUUCCUCGUCCUCAGCCCAGCAGAUCCCCUGGACGGAGCCAGGCCCACGCAGGCCAGCUAAAAAGGCCCCUGCAAAGAGGCGCAGGAGGACUGACUCCUCAUCGGACUGUAACCCGGACUCAGGCGUCCCUGUUCCUUAUCAGGAAUCAGGGACGUCUGAUUCUGAUCCUGUGGUGGAGUCUGAUGAGGAGUCAAAGAGGGUGUCCCCCUCCCACAUGAGAAAGUGCUCUGUGCUGCUUACGAAACUGAAACGACAGAAGGAGGUGUCGGAAAAAAUCAAAAAAGUGCUGGAAAAAAAAGAAAAAGUAAUUAAAUUCCUGGGGUGUUGGUUGUCCCCCAUGUUCAGUGUUGUUAGUACUUGUUAGUACUUGUUAGUACAUGUUAGUACUUGUUAGUACCUGUUAGUACUUGUUAGUACUUGUUAGUACUGUUAAAAAAGUUCAAACAAUUGUCAAAUGUUCAUAGUUAUCUCUGUUCUGGCUUCUCUAACCCCCAAUUCGUCAAGGCAGAUGAGCGGUCACACUGAGCCUCUUUCUGAUGGAGGUUUUUAGUAAUAGUAAUAUCAUCUUUAUUGUCAUUGAAAAAUACAUUACAACAAAAUUUGUUCUCUGCUUU